rnacentral:rRNA from 1 species
GAUGAACGCUAGCGGCAGGCUUAACACAUGCAAGUCGAGGGGCAGCAUAAUGGAUAGCAAUAUCUAUGGUGGCGACCGGCGCACGGGUGCGUAACGCGUAUGCAACCUACCUUUAUCAGGGGGAUAACACUGAGAAAUUGGUACUAAUACCCCAUAAUAUCAUAGAAGGCAUCUUUUAUGGUUGAAAAUUCCGAUGGUUAGAGAUGGGCAUGCGUUGUAUUAGCUAGUUGGUGGGGUAACGGCUCACCAAGGCGACGAUACAUAGGGGGACUGAGAGGUUAACCCCCCACACUGGUACUGAGACACGGACCAGACUCCUACGGGAGGCAGCAGUGAGGAAUAUUGGUCAAUGGACGCAAGUCUGAACCAGCCAUGCCGCGUGCAGGAUGACGGCUCUAUGAGUUGUAAACUGCUUUUGUACGAGGGUAAACGCAGAUACGUGUAUCUGUCUGAAAGUAUCGUACGAAUAAGGAUCGGCUAACUCCGUG